CUGGACUUCUCGAGACACUCUCGCUGAAAGAUCAGAGUGCAGAGUUAAAAGUGAAACUCCUCACAACGGGAACACAUGUGGGAGCUUCAGAAGAGAUCUGGGAGAUGUUGGUAGACAGCUGGCCUGAAGCUUGCCGAGAAAGGGAGCGAGCGUCCCCUUCACCAGUCACAUCCUCCACCAGCCUGCCUGGCAUAGUGACUCAAACACAUCCUUAUUCAUCAACAAGGGCUGUUGCUGAUCAGGCUGAGAAAGAAGAGGAUGGUUCUUAAAGGUCUCAGCAUCCCAUCACGCGACCAUGAGCCUGCUCAUUCCCACUCACUGCCAGACAUGGACGAACUUACCCUUCGACCUCUGAUGCCUUUGGGUCCUGGUGGUCCAUCUGCCCCUGGCUCACCAGGGGUACCCUGGGAAGAGAGCCAAGAAGUGACACAUCAAGGUCUUCACCAGCAGGACCUUCUGCUGGGUGGGGGGUGUCCCUGGGGUAAGACCCAGCAGAGCAUCUGGACCAUACUUUCCAAAGAGCUAACAGGUUCACAUCUACAAACGGCUCCAGUGUAUUGGUGCCAUUUACAGACAGCCUGGGUUUAUGUCAUCACUGGCAUUCCUGCCAGAUGGGUUGUGGCAUUCGCAGGUCUCAGAUGUUCCCGCCGUCCACAUAACUAACAAGCGCCCUGGACAGCAAGCACUGCCAACUCCAUCCGCACAGACAGGAGCAUCUUAGAGAGCUCAGAGACUUUCCCGGCAUGGCCCUGUCACGAGCCGCUGACCCAAGCCUAAAGCUGAGGUAUUCUGACUUCAGUUCAGGCUUAUCCAGAAACGGUGCACACACCCCAUUACUCUGGUCACUCACCUUUGGUCCCGGAUAGCCAGGGAAGCCUCUUUCUCCCUGUAAAAGGCAAUAAACACCUCAAUAUCAGGUCCCAACUUAAAGCCAUUUAAAAUGCAAGAUGUUGGAAG